UGCAAGUCGAGCGGAAACGACACUAACAAUCCUUCGGRUGCGUUAAUGGGCGUCGAGCGGCGGACGGGUGAGUAAUGCCUAGGAAAUUGCCUUGAUGUGGGGGAUAACCAUUGGAAACGAUGGCUAAUACCGCAUAAUGCCUACGGGCCAAAGAGGGGGAYCUUCGGACCUCUCGCGUCAAGAUAUGCCUAGGUGGGAUUAGCUAGUUGGUGAGGUAAUGGCUCACCAAGGCGACGAUCCCUAGCUGGUCUGAGAGGAUGAUCAGCCACACUGGAACUGAGACACGGUCCAGACUCCUACGGGAGGCAGCAGUGGGGAAUAUUGCACAAUGGGCGAAAGCCUGAUGCAGCCAUGCCGCGUGUAUGAAGAAGGCCUUCGGGUUGUAAAGUACUUUCAGUUGUGAGGAAGGGUGUGUAGUUAAUAGCUGCRCAUCUUGACGUUAGCAACAGAAGAAGCACCGGCUAACUCCGUGCCAGCAGCCGCGGUAAUACGGAGGGUGCGAGCGUUAAUCGGAAUUACUGGGCGUAAAGCGCAUGCAGGUGGUUCAUUAAGUCAGAUGUGAAAGCCCGGGGCUCAACCUCGGAACUGCAUUUGAAACUGGUGAACUAGAGUGCUGUAGAGGGGGGUAGAAUUUCAGGUGUAGCGGUGAAAUGCGUAGAGAUCUGAAGGAAUACCAGUGGCGAAGGCGGCCCCCUGGACA
rnacentral:rRNA from 1 species